rnacentral:rRNA from 1 species
GAUUAAGUUAUUAAGGGCGCACGGUGGAUGCCUUGGCACUAGAAGCCGAUGAAGGACGUUACUAACGACGAUAUGCUUUGGGGAGCUGUAAGUAAGCUUUGAUCCAGAGAUUUCCGAAUGGGGAAACCCAGCAUGAGUUAUGUCAUGUUAUCGAUAUGUGAAUACAUAGCAUAUCAGAAGGCACACCCGGAGAACUGAAACAUCUUAGUACCCGGAGGAAGAGAAAGAAAAUUCGAUUCCCUUAGUAGCGGCGAGCGAAACGGGAAGAGCCCAAACCAACAAGCUUGCUUGUUGGGGUUGUAGGACACUCUAUACGGAGUUACAAAGGACGACAUUAGACGAAUCAUCUGGAAAGAUGAAUCAAAGAAGGUAAUAAUCCUGUAGUCGAAAAUGUUGUCUCUCUUGAGUGGAUCCUGAGUACGACGGAGCACGUGAAAUUCCGUCGGAAUCUGGGAGGACCAUCUCCUAAGGCUAAAUACUCUCUAGUGACCGAUAGUGAACCAGUACCGUGAGGGAAAGGUGAAAAGCACCCCGGAAGGGGAGUGAAAUAGAACCUGAAACCGUGUGCUUACAAGUAGUCAGAGCCCGUUAAAUGGGUGAUGGCGUGCCUUUUGUAGAAUGAACCGGCGAGUUACGAUUUGAUGCAAGGUUAAGCAGUAAAUGUGGAGCCGUAGCGAAAGCGAGUCUGAAUAGGGCGUUUAGUAUUUGGUCGUAGACCCGAAACCAGGUGAUCUACCCUUGGUCAGGUUGAAGUUCAGGUAACACUGAAUGGAGGACCGAACCGACUUACGUUGAAAAGUGAGCGGAUGAACUGAGGGUAGCGGAGAAAUUCCAAUCGAACCUGGAGAUAGCUGGUUCUCUCCGAAAUAGCUUUAGGGCUAGCCUCAAGUGAUGAUUAUUGGAGGUAGAGCACUGUUUGGACGAGGGGCCCCUCUCGGGUUACCGAAUUCAGACAAACUCCGAAUGCCAAUUAAUUUAACUUGGGAGUCAGAACAUGGGUGAUAAGGUCCGUGUUCGAAAGGGAAACAGCCCAGACCACCAGCUAAGGUCCCAAAAUAUAUGUUAAGUGGAAAAGGAUGUGGCGUUGCCCAGACAACUAGGAUGUUGGCUUAGAAGCAGCCAUCAUUUAAAGAGUGCGUAAUAGCUCACUAGUCGAGUGACACUGCGCCGAAAAUGUACCGGGGCUAAACAUAUUACCGAAGCUGUGGAUUGUCCUUUGGACAAUGGUAGGAGAGCGUUCUAAGGGCGUUGAAGCAUGAUCGUAAGGACAUGUGGAGCGCUUAGAAGUGAGAAUGCCGGUGUGAGUAGCGAAAGACGGGUGAGAAUCCCGUCCACCGAUUGACUAAGGUUUCCAGAGGAAGGCUCGUCCGCUCUGGGUUAGUCGGGUCCUAAGCUGAGGCCGACAGGCGUAGGCGAUGGAUAACAGGUUGAUAUUCCUGUACCACCUAUAAUCGUUUUAAUCGAUGGGGGGACGCAGUAGGAUAGGCGAAGCGUGCGAUUGGAUUGCACGUCUAAGCAGUAAGGCUGAGUAUUAGGCAAAUCCGGUACUCGUUAAGGCUGAGCUGUGAUGGGGAGAAGACAUUGUGUCUUCGAGUCGUUGAUUUCACACUGCCGAGAAAAGCCUCUAGAUAGAAAAUAGGUGCCCGUACCGCAAACCGACACAGGUAGUCAAGAUGAGAAUUCUAAGGUGAGCGAGCGAACUCUCGUUAAGGAACUCGGCAAAAUGACCCCGUAACUUCGGGAGAAGGGGUGCUCUUUAGGGUUAACGCCCAGAAGAGCCGCAGUGAAUAGGCCCAAGCGACUGUUUAUCAAAAACACAGGUCUCUGCUAAACCGUAAGGUGAUGUAUAGGGGCUGACGCCUGCCCGGUGCUGGAAGGUUAAGAGGAGUGGUUAGCUUCUGCGAAGCUACGAAUCGAAGCCCCAGUAAACGGCGGCCGUAACUAUAACGGUCCUAAGGUAGCGAAAUUCCUUGUCGGGUAAGUUCCGACCCGCACGAAAGGCGUAACGAUUUGGGCACUGUCUCAACGAGAGACUCGGUGAAAUCAUAGUACCUGUGAAGAUGCAGGUUACCCGCGACAGGACGGAAAGACCCCGUGGAGCUUUACUGUAGCCUGAUAUUGAAAUUCGGCACAGCUUGUACAGGAUAGGUAGGAGCCUUUGAAACGUGAGCGCUAGCUUACGUGGAGGCGCUGGUGGGAUACUACCCUAGCUGUGUUGGCUUUCUAACCCGCACCACUUAUCGUGGUGGGAGACAGUGUCAGGCGGGCAGUUUGACUGGGGCGGUCGCCUCCUAAAAGGUAACGGAGGCGCUCAAAGGUUCCCUCAGAAUGGUUGGAAAUCAUUCAUAGAGUGUAAAGGCAUAAGGGAGCUUGACUGCGAGACCUACAAGUCGAGCAGGGUCGAAAGACGGACUUAGUGAUCCGGUGGUUCCGCAUGGAAGGGCCAUCGCUCAACGGAUAAAAGCUACCCCGGGGAUAACAGGCUUAUCUCCCCCAAGAGUUCACAUCGACGGGGAGGUUUGGCACCUCGAUGUCGGCUCAUCGCAUCCUGGGGCUGUAGUCGGUCCCAAGGGUUGGGCUGUUCGCCCAUUAAAGCGGUACGCGAGCUGGGUUCAGAACGUCGUGAGACAGUUCGGUCCCUAUCCGUCGUGGGCGUAGGAAAUUUGAGAGGAGCUGUCCUUAGUACGAGAGGACCGGGAUGGACAUACCUCUGGUGUACCAGUUGUCGUGCCAACGGCAUAGCUGGGUAGCUAUGUGUGGACGGGAUAAGUGCUGAAAGCAUCUAAGCAUGAAGCCCCCCUCAAGAUGAGAUUUCCCAACUUCGGUUAUAAGAUCCCUCAAAGAUGAUGAGGUUAAUAGGUUCGAGGUGGAAGCAUGGUGACAUGUGGAGCUGACGAAUACUAAUCGAUCGAAGACUUAAUCAA